rnacentral:rRNA from 1 species
AGAGUUUGAUCCUGGCUCAGAACGAACGCUGGCGGCAGGCCUAACACAUGCAAGUCGAACGAACCUUCGGGUGAGUGGCGCACGGGUGAGUAACGCGUGGGAAUGUACACCUUGGUAAGGAAUAACUGCUGGAAACGGUAGCUAAUACCUUAUAAUGACUCCGGUCCAAAGAUUUAUCGCCAAGGAAUCAGCCCGCGUCAGAUUAGAUAGUUGGUGAGGUAAUGGCUCACCAAGUCUACGAUCUGUAGGGGGUCUGAGAGGAUGAUCCCCCACACUGGAACUGAGACACGGUCCAGACUCCUACGGGAGGCAGCAGUGAGGAAUAUUGCACAAUGGAGGAAACUCUGAUGCAGCCAUGCCGCGUGAGUGAUGAAGGCCUUAGGGUUGUAAAGCUCUUUCAAUAGUGAAGAUAAUGACGGUAGCUAUAGAAGAAGCCCGGCUAAAUUCGUGCCAGCAGCCGCGGUAAUACGAAUGGGGCAAGCGUUGUUCGGAAUCACUGGGCUUAAAGCGUAUGUAGGCGGACUAACAAGUCAGGAGUGAAAUCCCAGGGCUCAACCCUGGAACUGCUUCUGAAACUGUUGGUCUAGAAUUCUGGAGAGGUUGGGGGAAUUCCUAGUGUAGAGGUGAAAUUCGCAGAUAUUAGGAGGAACACCAGUGGCGUAGGCGCCCAACUGGACAGAUAUUGACGCUCAGAUACGAAAGCGUGGGGAGCAAACAGGAUUAGAUACCCUGGUAGUCCACGCUGUAAACGAUGUAUGCUAGUUGUCAGGCCCUUAGGGUUUGGUGACGGAGGGAAACUAUUAAGCAUACCGCCUGGGGAGUACGGUCGCAAGACUAAAACUCAAAGGAAUUGACGGGGACCCGCACAAGCGGUGGAGCAUGUUGUUUAAUUCGAAGCAACGCGAAGAACCUUACCCACACUUAACUAUCCUCUUGGGGCUUUCAGAGAUGAUCGCUUUCGGUUCGGCCGGGGAGUGAAUAGGUGCUGCAUGGCUGUCGUCAGCUCGUG